UGCUGCUGUGUAUCACAACUUUUUUACAAUUCACAUUUAAUUGACAAAGCAGAAAAGAAAGAAUUACCAGAUCUUCGGCGAAAAUUGAGCCUUCCAUAAGAUUUUCCAAAUUAUUCAAAUUUGAGUUGGGAUCUUGAUAGGUCUCUGGUGAAGUAGCGUUUUGUUUACAUUAACAAUGAGGAAGUUCGAAAGAGCUCUGUUUUGACAACCGUAUAUCUAACAGAGAAGUAUACUUUGUGGAAUUAAGCCAGUUCAGGAACCAGUAUUGUUCGCUUAAUCGCAUGCCUUCAGCUAUGGAUCUUAGUCAAUAAAUUCUUAAUUGGCUGGUUUUAGUGCCGGAUGCAACUAAUGCCUAUAACAAUUGACAGGUGUAGGAAAGGAUAUAAGCUAAUCUUGCUUGGGUCGAGGAGCUUUCGAGGAACUUCUUCUUUUGUGGUCGAAAAGAGAACGGAGGAUUGGUGAAGUGGAUCGUCGGAACAUAGGAUUGAUCACAUUCCUGCCCUCUAAAUCUCCCGAAGCCGCAGUUCGGCGGUGGUGCUGCAGUCAUCGUCUUUGAAGUCAGCAAGGAGAGAGAAGUUCGCCACUGGGGGAGAUAUAGUUAAUUGAGACCUUAAUGACAAUGAUUGAGCGCAGAAGGGAUCCGUGACGGAGGAGAAGAAUCUCAGACAAAACGACGCGAAAGAAGCUCGACCAAAAGAUCCCUCUCCAUUCAGGUAGAUCGAAGAAGACGACUGGUCUCUUAAUCGGGCUGGGCUAUCAGCAUCUUUCACAAAAAUAAAUAAGGUAGAGAAAGCCCAAAAAUUGUAAAGAAGAAAGCCUAUAUUAAAUCGAGACAACACAACAAUAAAUUCAUUUAAAAAAAGAUACACGUGUCACACACAAAGAAUCUGACUUUGUGACCUGGAUGCUGACGUGGUUCAACAGGAGGGAGGCAAACAUGUUUAUAUAUAUAUAGAUAUAUUAUAAUAAUUGAUGAUAUUUAUUUUUAAUUUUAAAUUAAUUUAUA